AUGUCAGAGGAAGCUGCUAGAACAGUCAGCAUUGCUGAGAGGCAGACCAUGCCUCUGGAGGAUGCUGUUCUGUGUUUGCUCUGGAGUGUGAGCACUUCGUACAGUCUGGUACCACAGCCCUGCACCAUGCCAAGUUGUCCUCCUGUCACCUGCUCUACACCUGGAGUUUGUAUGCAGAUCUAUGUGCUGAUCUUCUGCGAGUGCCUUCCCUAUGCCAAAGAAAGAACAUGUUUUUGA
rnacentral:lncRNA from 1 species